GGCUUCACAACGUACGAGACCUCUGAUAGUUUGUAUAUUGUUACUAAAUAUUGCCAUCGAGUGUAUUUGUUGGGCUAAACGAAAUGUUUGAAUAGAGUUUGACCAAAGUCUGAUAAUAAAAAUAGCAGUGACUCGGGAUUGAAAAAAGAUGCACCGACCAUCAGCGAGUGUUGGCAUGUCAGCGGAGGUGACACCAGACAACAAUUGUCAUUACGGUGACCUGGAGAUGCUGAAGGUACACCCAGAAGAGGCUCCACUUUGUUUUCAACUCCAUGAAGGCAAGGGCGCCAGCAAACGAGGAAUGCUGAUGGGACUUUGAGAUACAGCUUGGAGUUUCCAAAGCAAACAAAAAGAUGGGUUGCCUGGAGGAGUUACGAGCCAACAACGCAGACAUUCUGACAGAAUUUGGUGGUGCAUGUCCUGGAAAGACUGCAGGAUUCAUCAGUGAAGUUUGCUGAUCCAGACUUUUAUUUCAAGCCUCCAACUACAAUUCCCCAAACCAUUGCAGGCAUCAAAAGGCCUGAUAAAGAAAAAGUCAUUUUACAUGUCAGUAGAUUUUAAAAAUAAGUCGGCUGACAUUUUCCUUUUUUUUUUUUUAAUAGAUAUUAUUGAAUGUACUAUAAUAAAAAAAAACACACAUAUUGUCUUAUUUGUGAAAUGUGAAGGUUUAACAGAUCAAAAGUUUCUGGGUAUGUAGGAGUUUUACUUAGAACAAUUGCAGAGCAUCUUCAGUUUCCCUAAAACCAUUGUAGUUCCCACUGACAGUAGUGCACUUGUCACGGAUGCAGGAGACGACACACGAUGGAAGAACACGUCGCUGGCCUCUUCCCAGAUGUUUGCCUUUCAACGCUCACUCAUCACAUCAAGAACAACCCUAUAUGCCACCAAUCGGAGUUGCCUAAAACAAGAAAACCAUAAUACACGGUGAUUAAAAAAGAAAGUGCCAAAAUCAUCAUGUGAUAGAUCAAAAGUAUAUACAUAAUUUCAAAAAGUUACAGAACUCUAGCUUGGACACAAUUUCAAUAUUCCCAACAAGCAGCACUCUACUAGAUGCAGCAGGAUUCAAAAUGAGGGGAAAAAAGUAGUGGCUUAUAGUCCGCAAAUUACGUAACUUCAAGUUUUUAAAUCAAGUGCUCUAAGGCAGGGGUCCCCAACAACCGGGCCGCGGACCGGUACCGGUCCGUGGCGCAUUUGGUACCGGGCCGCACAGAAAUAAUAAAUAAUUUAUUAACGACUGCAUUCUGGCCGAUUGACUUUGGCCUGUGCGCUUAACACACCAAUAACCCUGUCUACUCUACAGUAGAUAUACAACUACAGGAUUGAAGGUCGUCAUAGAAAUGCAUUGAUUGGGCUGUUAGCACUAAAUCUCGUUUUGUAUAUCUAUGCGCGCUUGGACUCGAUAACAACGUAUGACGUAGGUCGUCGCCAAUCACAUUUCUUCCCGGAAAUAAUUAGCCCUUACACUAGAAUGACUGAAAAACAAACGUCUUUGGACAGACUUUUUACGGGGAAAAGGGAACCUGACGAGCCAGAAGAUGUGCCUACAACCUCGAAGAAAACAAAAUGUAUGCUACUUCCCAAUCACUAAAGACCCACGAACUGCGAAGGAGUGAAUUCGUGACCCGUAUGUGAAUAAACCGAGUGAUAUUAGCAUGUCUGUGCAACAGGAAUAUCAGCUUGUAGAGAUCGCAAAUGACGGCGACCUUAAACGUACAUUUGAGACAACAACUCUACCGAAGUUCUGGAUUAAAGUCAUUUUGGAAUAUCUUGACAUCGCUACGAGCGCGCUGAAAACUGUGUGACAAUUUCCAACAUCGUGUACUUGUGAUGCUAGCUUCUCUCACGCUCCCAUCUCGGGACCAUCUCGUCUCAACGAAACAAACUCAGGCCUCCCACUGAUUCAGCGGGCGAGUUGUAUUUUUCCCUGCACUUAACACGACGGGGUUAAAAACAAAUGCUAUUUUAUAUUUGCUGUAUUUUUCUGGCGCACAUUGCCGGUGUUCUGACAAAGUUGGCAUGCGCGUAACGUUAAAAAGGACCGCAAAUGCAGCGAUUCCAAAGUGCACACUACUAACUCUCUUUAAAGAAAGGAAUAUUAACUUACGUUUGCCAUGUUUGGUGCACACAACAACUGCACGUAGCCCUCUCACUUAACGACUUCGCCGUGUCGUUAAGCAUUAAUUUACGCCAUUUCCGUGUUGCACAUGUAUGUUUAUGAUGUAAAUAGUUUUUUAGCACCAUUGGAUAACAUUGAGAGUCCAACUGAAUAUAAAAGAGGGCUUUUUUUCACCACCACAAAAGCUUUGGGAGCAAAAUUUUAUAAGGGUGCAAAACUUGACAGAACACGGGUCCGUGAAAAAAAGAUCCAAAUCACACCGGUCCGUGGUGCAAAAAAGGUUGUGGACCCCUGCUCUUAGGUGACCAUCACCGGCAAUGGAAAUACAUGAAAUAAUACAUGAAGUUAUGUUCAACACAUUUGCCUAUGUCAGAGUUUUGUAAUGUUUUUCAUUUUUGACAUAUUGCAUGAUGAUUUAGGCACAUUCUUGUAAAUAAUUGCCAUACUGCUACUGCUUUUUAUAUUGACAAUGCUUUUACGCGCACAAUGCAUUACUGUUGAGAUGGUAUAGCUGCUUUCCUGAAGUAGAACUAAGCUUAGAGGAUACGAAUAUUCGCCCAGUGGCAAAAUAAAGCAUGCAGGAAUCCACUUACCUCAUUGAUAGCUGCCCGUUUUUUUUCCAGUUGGUCUUGUCUACGAAGAAAAAAGUUUCAAGAACACCUUUUUUGAGAAGUGGUAAAAAGUCUUGGUGUUCACGUGCAACAAUUUAUUGAGUUCCUGAAAACUGUUCAGCUCCAAUUCUACCCUGCAUUUUGGGGGGCGGGAAGUCGCUUCGUUGCCACAAAAAAAAAAAAAAAAAA